rnacentral:rRNA from 1 species
UACGUAGGGGGCAAGCGUUGUCCGGAUUUAUUGGGCGUAAAGAGCGCGUAGGCGGCUUUACAGGUCCGUUGUGAAAACUCGAGGCUCAACCUCGAGACGCCGGUGGAAACCGUAAAGCUAGAGUCCGGAAGAGGAGAGUGGAAUUCCUGGUGUAGCGGUGAAAUGCGCAGAUAUCAGGAGGAACACCGGUGGCGAAAGCGGCUCUCUGGGACGGUACUGACGCUGAGACGCGAAAGCGUGGGGAGCAAACAGG